rnacentral:rRNA from 1 species
UACCUGGUUGAUCCUGCCAGUAGUCAUAUGCUUGUCUCGUUGUCUCGUUGCCUGCUGUCUAAGUACAAGCCGAUUCAAGGCGAAACCGCGAAUGGCUCAUUAAAUCAGCUAUGAUUCAUUGGAUCUGUACCCACAUUUACUUGGAUAACUGUGGUAAUUCUAGAGCUAAUACAUGCCCAGAGUCUCUGACCGCAAGGAAGAGCGCUUUUAUUAGUUCAAAACCGGUCGGGCCUUCGGGUCCGUCACCCUGGUGUGUUGAAUCUGAAUAACUUUUCUCACGCACGGUCUCCGCGAGGGCCGCCUCUUUCAAGUGUUGCCUUAUCAGCUUUCGAUUGUAAGGUUACUACGCCUUCAAUGGCUAUUACGGUUACGGGUAAUCAGGGUUUUAUUCCGUUUUCCCCCCCUUGGGAACGGGUACCACAUCUAAGGAAGGCCGGAGGGACGGCAAUUACCCAACCCGGCACGGGGAGGUAGUGACCGAAAAUAACGAUGCGAGACUCAUCCGAGCCUCGCAAUCGGAAUGAGUACACUUUAAAUGGUUUAACGAGGAUCCAUUGGAGGGCAAGUCUGGUGCCAGCAGCCGCGGUAAUUCCAGCUCCAAUAGCGUAUAUUAAAGUUGUUGCGGUUAAAAAGCUCGUAGUUGGAUUUCAGUUCUGGACUGACGGUUACCGCCCGGUGAUCACUGUCACGCUCCGAACACUUUGACCAUCCGCUGGCCCACGGGGUGCCCUUUUCCCAAUUUCCCCUGGCCCGGAGAGUUUACUUUGAAAAAAUUAGAGUUCUCAAAGCAGGCUACACUGACGGCCUGAAUGCCUAUGCAUGGAAUAAUGGAAUAGGACCUCGGUUCUAUUUUGUCGGUUUUCUGAACCCGAGGUAAUGACUAAUGGAACAGGCGGGGUCAUUCUAUUGACGCUAGAGGUAAAUUCUUGGACCGUCGCAAGACGAACUACUCGAAAUCAUUUGCCAAGGAUGUUUUCAUUAAUCAAGAACGAAAGUUAGAGGUUCGAAGCGAUCAGAUACCGCCCUAGUUCUAACCAUAAACGAUUCUGACCACAUCCGCCGGAGUUAUUCCCAUGACCGGCGGGGAGCUUCCGGGAAACCAAAGUCUUUGGGUUCCGGGGGAAGUAUGGUUGCAAAGCUGAAACUUAAAGGAAUUGACGGAAGGGCACCACCAGGAGUGGCUGCGGCUUAAUUUGACUCAACACGGGGAACCUCACCAGGCCCAGACACCGGAAGGAUUGACAGAUUGAGAGCUCUUUCUUGAUUCGGUGGGUGGUGGUGCAUGGCCGUUCUUAGUUGGUGGAACGAUUUGUCUGGUUAAUUCCGAUAACGAACGAGACCCUAGCCUACUAACUAGUCGACGGAUCUCCAGCAAUUGGUGUCCAGUCGCAGCUUCUUCUUACAGGGAAACGGGCAAUUCUAGCCGCACGAGAUUGAGCAAUAACAGGCUUGUGAUGCCCUUAGAUGUUCUGGGCGCACGCGCGCUACACUGAAGGGAUCAACGUGUCCUCCCCUCCGAGAGGAGCGGGUAACCCGUGAAAUCCUUUCAUGAUAGGGAUUGGGGUUUGCAAUUGUUCUCCCAUGAACGAGGAAUUCCCAGUAAGGCGCAAGUCAUGGGAUUGCGUUGAUUACGCCUGCCCUUCGUACACACGCCCGGUCGCUACUACCGAUUGAAUGAUUUAGUGAGGCUUCGGAUUGGCGCUCUUGGAUGCCUGGCCCGCCUUCCGGUGGGCUUUUUAGGCGCCUCGAGCUGACUAAAGAUGUCCAAACUUGAUCAUUUAGAGGAAGUAAAAGUCGUAACAAGGUUUCCGUAGGUGAACCUGCGGAAGGAUCAUUA